UACGGAGGGGGCGAGCGUUAUUCGGAAUUAUUGGGCGUAAAGGGCGCGUAGGCGGUCCGACAAGUCAAAGGUGAAAUCCCUCGGCUCAACUGAGGAACUGCCUUUGAAACUGUCGGACUUGAGUCCGGGAGAGGGUAGUGGAAUUCCCAAUGUAGCGGUGAAAUGCGUAGAUAUUGGGAGGAACACCAGUGGCGAAGGCGGCU
rnacentral:rRNA from 1 species